UACGUAGGGUGCAAGCGUUGUCCGGAAUUAUUGGGCGUAAAGAGCUCGUAGGCGGUUUGUCGCGUCUGCUGUGAAAACUCGGGGCUUAACCCCGGCCUGCAGUGGGUACGGGCAGACUAGAGUGCGGUAGGGGAGACUGGAAUUCCUGGUGUAGCGGUGAAAUGCGCAGAUAUCAGGAGGAACACCGAUGGCGAAGGCAGGUCUCUGGGCAUUAACUGACGCUGAGGAGCGAAAGCAUGGGGAGCGAACAGG
rnacentral:rRNA from 1 species